ACAUGAGUUGAAUAUGAAGUUCUUCAGAAGUCUCAGUGGAAGUUUUAUUCAUAAAAUUAAUAUCUUAGAAUAUUUUUAGCAAGGCUGGUAGGGGAUAAAUUGGUAUGGUCACUUUGGAGGGUAAAUUGGUAGUAUCUAUUAAAGUUUAGUUGUGCAUACUCUUUUUUUUUUGAGACGAAGUCUCGCUCUGUUGCCCAGGCUGGAGUGCAGUGACACAAUCUCCCAGGAGAAUGGCGUGAACCCAGGAGGGCAGAGCUUGCAGUGAGCAGAGAUCGUGCCACUGCACUCCAGCCUGGACGACAGAGCGAGACUCCAUCUCAGAAAAAAAAAACAAAAAAAAGAUUGGAAAUGAAAUAAGUAGCCAUCAAUAGCGUAGCUAUAUCAAAUGUUGUCUGACUGGAGUAUUAUGCAGCUUUAUAAAAGAAUGAGUGAAAUUAGUGAUUGAGUUGUGGUCUAUUUGAUCCUCUCAUCCUUCUCCAUUCAGUUCUGCUUCAUCUUUUUCUGAAGGAGAGCAAAUUUGAUGAACUAGAGAGAAUAUACUCCUCAUUUCCCAGAAAAAAAUGGUAAUAGCAGCCACAAGUAAUUGUAUCAACACUAAUGGCUACAAAUGAUUGUAUUAAAAAAUAAUUUAUCUGCAAAAGAAAUUAGAAAAAUUAAAACGUAGUUAAAAGCUU